rnacentral:sRNA from 1 species
UUUAUUUAAUGUGUAAUUUUUUGUUCACUGGUAGUUUUUUUUAAUUGUUUUAUAAGUGUUCUAGAAUAAUCGGCUAUAAAUUUUAAUUUUUAACUCUAUUUGUUGUUGUGUCUUUUUUUUAUCUUUUUAUUUUUAUGUUAUUUUUGUAAAAUGUUUUAAAAGAUAUUUAAAAGAUUUUUUAUUAUUUAAAAAGAUAUUUAAAUUUUGGUUUUUGAACUGGAUUAGUACCCAGGUAAUCAAAAUUAAUAAAGUUUUAUUUAAACCGAAAAAAUAUUGAUGACUUUGGAUUUUUUUUUGAAACAUGCGUGUGGAGAGCCCUCUUUUUUAGAAAAUCUUGUUGGCACAUGUAUGACUGUUUAGUUUUUAUUUUAUUUGUAAUGCUUUUAUGUUUUAUCAUUUAAAACAUAUAUAUAUUUGGCUUAUGGAUUUAUAAUCGUAUGUUACUAUUAUUGAAUUUUUUUUGGAUUAUUUUUUUUUGAAAUUGAAAAAGAAAGUAAUUUUUUUUUAUAUGUUAAUGAAUUUAAUAAACAAAGUGGUACAAACCAUCCCUCAAUGGCCUACAGGGACGUAAGUUGUAGUAUGGUAGAGGUUGUUGCUUUUUUAACUUUAAUGGAACGUCAUUUUUUGGGUGGAACUCAAUGUCGUAUUGGACCUAAUAAAGUUGGUUAAUCUGGAGUUUUUCAAGCAUUAUUUGAUGAUCAUAAAUUAUUAAAGAAGGAACAACUUUUUUUUUUACUUUUCUUCUUGACUAUUUUUUUUUUUUUGUUAAUGCCUAUUUGUGGUUUUAUUUUGAUGAUUUUUUUUUUUUGAUUUACUUUGCCUUAUUUUUUUGUUUUUAUAUCUUUUGAUUAUUUUGAUAUUUUUUUUUUU